UAUUGUACUGCUCUGGAAGAUCCAAAAGAACCAGUUUUCCUGUAGCUUUGGUCCAGAGGACUAUUUCUUUGGUUGAGCAGCAAAUGGUAUCAUUGUAUUGCACAUACAGGCCAUGUAGUAAGGAAAAUAUGUAUCUUUAAUACUAUAAUCACACUCAGCCCUGUGAGAUAUGCUCACAUCAGGAGAAGCAAAAGGACAGAUCAAGGAAAAUACUUUUCUGACUUCUAUUUCCUGCUCACUUCCAGAUGCAUAAUCAAUUUGUGAAAUGAAGGCCAACAAUUAUAUAUGUGUCUAUGCUACCUGGGAGAAGAAAACAAGCUGGGACUAACUUUGAAGUCUGACCAGCUUGGCCAGAGGAUACCCUGGCCAUCUAAGACCAAAUCCAGGGAAGCAUGAACCUUGCUAAAGGUAUAGAGAUAAUAUGUGGACCCAGAUCAGAGAAGAGCACCCGAGCUUGAAGAUGGUAGCAACUAUAGAGAGUAUCAUCUAAGGCAUAAAUGGUAGGACACAGAAUUCCUUUGCUGAAAGAUAAUAAAAUUUUGACCAAUGCUA